AGUCUGGUGCCAGCAGCCGCGGUAAUUCCAGCUCUGAUAGUAUAUAUUAAAGUUGUUGCAGUUAAAAAGCUCGUAGUUGAAACUUGGGUGCGUAGGGGCGGUCUCUUUUAGAGUACUACCCUGAAACAUCUUUCUUUGGUGUAAACUCUUUAUUCACUUAAGGAGUGUAAACCAAACAUUUACUUUAAAAAAAUUAGAGUGUUCAAAGCAGGCCUUUGCUCGAAUAUAUUAGCAUGGAAUAAUAGAAUAGGACGUAUGGUUCUAUUUUGUUGGUUUCUAGGACCGUCGUAAGGAUUAAUAGGGACGGUCGGGGGCAUCAGUAUUCAGUUGUCAGAGGUGAAAUUCUUGGAUUUACUGAAGACUAACUACUGCGAAAGCAUUUGCCAAGGACGUUUUCAUUAAUCAAGAACGAAAGUUAGGGGAUCGAAGACGAUCAGAUACCGUCGUAGUCUUAACCGUAAACUAUGCCGACUAGGGAUCGGAGGGCGUUAUAAUAACCUCUCCGGCACCUUACGAGAAAUCAAAGUUUUUGGGUUCUGGGGGAGUAUGGUUGCAAGGCUGAAACUUAAAGGAAUUGACGGAAGGGCACCACCAGGAGUAGCCUGCGGCUUAAUUUGACCCAACACGGGGAAACUCACCAGGUCCAGACACAAUAAGGAUUGACAGAUUGAGAGCUCUUUCAUGAUUUUGUGGGUGGUGGUGCAUGGCCGUUCUUAGUUGGUGGAGUGAUUUGUCUGCUUAAUUGCGAUAACGAACGAGACCUUAACCUGCUAAAUAGCUGUAACAAUAGAUUAUUGUUUUGGCAGCUUCUUAGAGGGACUAUCGAUUUUCAAGUCGAUGGAAGUUCGAGGCAAUAACAGGUCUGUGAUGCCCUUAGACGUUCUGGGCCGCACGCGCGCUACACUGACGGAGCCAGCGAGUCUAACCUGUGCCGAGAGGUAUGGGUAAUCUUGUGAAACUCCGUCGUGCUGGGGAUAGAGCAUUGCAAUUAUUGCUCUUCAACGAGGAAUUCCUAGUAAGCGCAAGUCAUCAGCUUGCGUUGAUUACGUCCCUGCCCUUUGUACACACCGCCCGUCGCUACUACCGAUUGAAUGGCUUAGUGAGGCUUCCGGAUUGAUUAACUGGAGAGGGCAACUUUUCUGGUUGAACGAGAAGCUAGUCAAACUUGGUCAUUUAGA
rnacentral:rRNA from 1 species